GUCUGUUUGUAGAUAUAAAAAGUCUGGCCUGCCCACUGAUAGUUUUUAAAGGGCCGCGGUAAUCUGACCGUGCAAAGGUAGCAUAAUCGUUAGUUUUUUAAUUGAAAUCUUGUAUGAAUGGUUGAACAAAAGAAUAACUGUCUCUGUAUUUUUAUUUGAAUUUAACUUUUAAGUGAAAAGGCUUAAAUAUUUUAAAAAGACGAUAAGACCCUGUAAAGCUUAAUAUACCUAAGUGUUAGAUUAAGUUAAUAUAUAAAAAUUUAAGAUGAAAGGCUUAUUUUGUUGGGGCGACAAUGAUAAAAUGCUUGUUAACUGUUUAUGUUAAAAGACAAAAAUAAAUGAUUAAAAAAUAAAUGAUCCUUAAAUAAAGAUUAAGAGUUUAAGUUACUUCAGGGAUAACAGCGUUAUUUUUCUUGAGAGUUCAUAUCGAAAGAAAAGUUUGCGACCUCGAUGUUGAAUUAAAAUUUCUAUAUAAUUGCAGCAGUUAUAAUAGAGGGUCUGUUCGACCUUUAAAUUUUU
rnacentral:rRNA from 1 species